GAUCCUGGCUCAGAAUCAACGCUGGCGGCGCGCUUAACACAUGCAAGUCGCACGAGAAAGGGAGCAAUCCUGAGUAAAGUGGCGUACGGGUGAGUAACACGUGGAUUAUCUACCUCUUUGUGGGGAAUAACUUUGGGAAACCGAAGCUAAUACCGCAUAAGCUCGUGAGAGGAAAGCAGCAAUGCGCAGAGAGAGGAGUCCGCGGUCGAUUAGCUAGUUGGCGGGGUAACGGCCCACCAAGGCUAUGAUCGAUAGCCGGCCUGAGAGGGCACACGGCCACACUGGCACUGAAACACGGGCCAGACUCCUACGGGAGGCAGCAGUGGGGAAUCUUGCACAAUGGGGGAAACCCUGAUGCAGCGACGCCGCGUGGGUGAUGAAGUCCUUCGGGAUGUAAAGCCCUUUCGACAGGAACGAUAAUGACGGUACCUGGAGAAGAAGCUGCGGCUAACUACGUGCCAGCAGCCGCGGUAAUACGUAGGCAGCAAGCGUUGUUCGGAGUUACUGGGCGUAAAGAGUAUGUAGGCGGUUGGGUAAGUUUGGUGUGAAAUCUCCCGGCUUAACUGGGAGGGUGCGCCGAAAACUGCCUGGCUCGAGUGCGGGAGAGGGGAGCGGAAUUCCUGGUGUAGCGGUGAAAUGCGUAGAUAUCAGGAGGAACACCUGCGGUGUAGACGGCUCCCUGGACCGUGA
rnacentral:rRNA from 1 species